rnacentral:tRNA from 1 species
GCGCCUGUAGCUCAGUUUGGAUAGAGCGAAAGGUUCCUAACCUUUAGGUCCGGAGUUCAAAUCUUCGCAGGCGCG